UUUGGCUACGACAGAGCUCCUUUUACACUUUUCUCACAUAUUUAUUUGCUGAUUACUCGACGAAUUUACGGCACAAAGAAUGUGAAAAAUUCAGUGGGAAAACCACAGAUGUAGUGAUUAUUCCUUCGCAUUCACCAACCAAGUCACCCUCCGGACGAGAUUACGUCAGCGUGUAUGACACAGACGUGAGUGUGGCGCGUGGCUAGCUCAUCCAGUUGGAACGGGCUGAGUACCAUAGAGUGGAUAGGGUGUCUUUUGCCGCAGUAUGCGGUCUCUCGUCUUCCGCAUAAAUCAUUUCUCGCAAUAUCAACGAAGAAAAUGGCAUCGAGGAAAUAAGAGGAGUGGAGAGGAGAGGUGAGGGAGAGGGAUCGAUCGAUCGUUCGUUGGCACCCUACACACCAUGACGCUUUUGACAAUGCCCGGGUGAGUCGUUAGUUUGAAAUUUCACCUACAAGACGUAAUCAGAUUGUGUGAAAUUGUUGUAGAAUUUACUUGAGAGUGAAUUUUGUUUUUUUAAAUACCUAGGGAUUUCUAUCCCUGGGCGACACAAAAUCAUGAUUUGUUAUGGGUAUGAAAAUGAUGAAAAUGUAAGUCUAUCUGUCACGGAAACUGCCUGUGCAUCUUCACCAAUAGCUUCAUUAAAGCAUCUCCUUUGUGUAAAGACUAAUUGAAAAUAACUCACCUUGAAAAGACAUUUUGAAUCUUGAUGAAUUUCAUUGACAAUAUUUCAAUUUUUGUGAGCUUUGCAGACAUUAGAAUACAUUAUGUGUAUCGAAAAAGUUGGAGGGUAGUGUUGGUGAAAAGGAGACUUACGUCAUGUACGAAGUUUGUCGUGAAAACGACAGACUCUUGAAAAUAUAGAUAUGUUUCAUAGGUAUAGAAUUAUGUACACGUCAUAUCGUCGGUCUUUUCCGACACACCGAUACAACCGUAAAUAUUCAAUAUAUUCAUACUACCGAAUAAGAAAUACACCGAUUCUGAGGAGGAUUUCUCAAGAUCUGCUGGUGACAUAUUUUAAGCAAUGUCAAUUUUCUUGAUUUACACCUGAUCUUUAUUAUCAUUGACCUCUCUUUUCUCACGAUUCCAGGAUAUGUGA